rnacentral:rRNA from 1 species
CGGAGGGGGCUAGCGUUGUUCGGAAUUACUGGGCGUAAAGGGCGCGUAGGCGGCGCGAUAAGUUGGGCGUGAAAGGCCCGGGCUCAACCCGGGGACUGCGCUUGAUACUGUCGCGCUGUGAGUCCGGGAGAGGAUGGCGGAAUUCCCAGUGUAGAGGUGAAAUUCGUAGAUAUUGGGAAGAACACCGGUGGCGAAGGCGGCCAUCUGGACCGGCACUGACGCUGAGGCGCGAAAGCGUGGGGAGCAAACAGGAUUAGAUACCCUGGUAGUCCACGCCGUAAACGAUGCGUGCUAGACGUUGGGGGGCUUGCCCUUCGGUGUCGUCGCUAACGCAUGAAGCACGCCGCCUGGGGAGUACGGUCGCAAGAUUA